AACGAACGCUGGCGGCAGGCUUACCACAUGCAAGUCGAACGCACCGCAAGGUGAGUGGCAGACGGGUGAGUAACGCGUGGGAAUCUACCCAGAUCUUCGGAAUAACACAGGGAAACUUGUGCUAAUACCGGAUACGCCCUACGGGGGAAAGAUUUAUCGGUUCUGGAUGAGCCCGCGUUGGAUUAGCUAGUUGGUGAGGUAAAGGCUCACCAAGGCGACGAUCCAUAGCUGGUCUGAGAGGAUGAUCAGCCACACUGGGACUGAGACACGGCCCAGACUCCUACGGGAGGCAGCAGUGGGGAAUAUUGGACAAUGGGCGAAAGCCUGAUCCAGCCAUGCCGCGUGAGUGAUGAAGGCCUUAGGGUUGUAAAGCUCUUUUAGCAGGGAAGAUAAUGACGGUACCUGCAGAAAAAGCCCCGGCUAACUUCGUGCCAGCCGCCGCCGUAAAAC
rnacentral:rRNA from 1 species